ensembl:lncRNA
CUGCAAGUGAGAAAAGCAAGGGCUUCCGACCAACUAACAGUAGACUCACAAUACUGCAAUCACCGUGUUCUGCAAAUCUGAAGGGAUGAGAGAAUGUGUCGAGUGCCAAGUACAGCGGCCCAAAGUCUGACAGAGAGCCCUCCAACUGUGUAUUGCCAGAAUGUGCCCUGUCCCCAAGGCUCCCGUUUUACGCAUUUCUUACACACACCAGCUGCCGAAACCUUUCACAGAGUCAUCAUCGCCUCUGCAUUUUCAAACCCACAUUUAUCAAUGGACCACUGAAGGGCUAAGAUUCUAGGUUAAUUUCUGGUGAAUUUGGCCACAGCCUAGGGCAACUCCAACUCGGCAGAUCCUUUCACCCAACCAGAAAGGUAGCUGUACUUCUCUGCAGGGCCCCCCAGCCCAAAAUGACCUAGCAAAGACAACUUACCUCCCCCCUCGCCAUUUUGCAAUCGUAACCACACCUACAGUGCGCGCCUCCCCUCCCCGUCAUUCCGUCUGAAAUACGCAUGCGCCCCUCUCCCCUCCUAAAGCCAACCGUCACAAUGUCGUCUCAAAUACGCAUGCGCGCCUUCACUUUCCCUUCCAACCGUGGCUGCCAACUGUGUACUGGGAAUUCCGCUCUCUUAAAUACGCACUCUAUUCCCCCCCCCCCACCCAAGCUUGCGCGUGCUUACCUCCCACUCUCCCGAGCUGGGGCCCCUUCCCCCUCACAUCAGGUCUUCUCAAAUAUGUGUGCGCGAUCCCGCGCCUCCCCCAACCUCCCAAAUACACAUGCGCACCAAGACCGUCCUCCCCUAUUCCCUGCCCUCCUUCCUCCUUGGUUUCUUAUAUAUACAUGCCUGAUGCUAUCGGGAUGUGUCUCUCGCCAUACUUGUGCCUCAGUGCUCAAGGAGAGCCACUACCAGCGUUUCCUAAUGGAGGAAAUACCAUCACUGAGCCAUGCUUUUCACUUCAAGAAUGGAAGGAAAAGUCAGGCGGGAAGGGCAGCUGGAAUGCCUGUGACACGUGAGUGGGGUCGUGUGCAAACCUUGUGUGAUGUCACUGAGGCACCUAGAGAAAAACGGCCACUUGUUUCUAAGCCGCCCUAAGGAGAGGUGCGUCGGAGCCUCAGGGGCAGUGGUGGGCCCGCUCGCCCUAAGAUCUCACCAUCGCCAUGAGCAAUAAGGAAUGUUUCAAGUGUGGACGCUCUGGCCACUGGGCCCGGGGAUGCCCUAGAGCAGGAGGAAGUCAAGGGCGUGGAGCUAGAGGCCGUGGCAGAGGUUCCCAGUGCAGUUCCACCAACCCGUCUGACAUCUGUUACCGCUGUGGUGUGUCUGGUCAUCAUGCUAAGAAUUGUGAUCUUCUCGAGGACAUCUGCUACAACUGUGGGAGAAGUGGCCACAUCGCCAAAGAUUGUAUUGAGCCUAAGCGAGAGAGAGAGCAGUGUUGUUACACUUGUGGCAGACCAGGCCAUCUGGCUCGUGAUUGUGACCGUCAGGAAGAGCAGAAGUGCUACUCUUGUGGUGAAUAUGGCCACAUUCAGAAAGACUGCACCCAAGUCAAAUGCUACCGGUGCGGUGAGACUGGCCACAUGGCCAUCAACUGCAGCAAGACGAGUGAAGUCAACUGCUACCGCUGUGGCAAGUCUGGACAUCUGGCCCGGGAAUGCCCCAUUGAGGCUACCGCUUAAUUUUUUUUCCUUUGUCCCUCCCUCCUUUUGUUGAUAGAUAAUUGUAUUAUUUUCUCUCAAACCAUUUCACUGACCAAAAGUUGAUAGAUGGAGCCUACUCCCAGGCUAGGAGGAAAGGGCUGGAAAAAAAAUCUCCAAAUAAGUUGUUCACUUUUAGAUGUCUUAUACUGUAAUUAAUGGGUUUCUGCACCAUUGGUGAAUCUGAUUAUUGGACAGUCAUUCUGGGUAUCAGCCAAUUUCUAGGUUCUUUGUGUUUUGCUUUAGCAUUUAAUUAAGGGCUACUACUGUGUGCCAGCCCCUGUUGGAGGAAUUGAGGAUAUAUCAGUGAACAAAUAAGAUCGAGUUUGGGAACAUAGGCCUAGAAUCUAUUGAAAAAUAAUAUAAUGUGUCAGUGGAGAUAAAUUGCUGUAGAGAAAAAGAACACCAGGUAAAAGAAUGGAAUGUGCAUGGGGAGGGGACAUGUGGUUCUGUCUUAGAUACACAAAGUACCCUGAGAUGACAUUUCCUCAGAGAUUCAUUGCAUAAAUAAAGCUGAUUCUAAAAAUGUG